UUCUGAGGAGUGAUUGUAAUAACUGAAAUAAAAGAGAAAUAAAAUAAAUAAAUAAAAUAAAAUAAAUUGAAUAUGCAUCAGGGCUAACCGUCGUUAUGCUUAGGCUUAAGAGUCGAGAGGAUCAUUUUAAGAAGCAAAGCGAGGGAUAUCGAGUGAUAGGGAGAGAGGAUUGUCAUGCCCUAGUUGUAGGAAGAAACGGAGGAGGAGAAAUCGAAGGAAAACGUGGCAGAUGUUGUUUCGAACUAUGCGAUAGAAGAAGAGGAGAAAGAAGAAGUUUGAUACGAUUGUCCUCGUCACGCGAUACUUACUCGAGCGACAACGAAGGAAGGAGGAUGACUUCGUGCCCUGCUAUUGUGCUCAGGUGAGAUGUAAGACAAGGUAGACAAAGAAGAAGGAAAGAGGAGAAAUAAGCCUUACGUGCUUUGUUGGAUGAACUAUGACCGAAGAAGAAGAAAAGAAGUGGAGAUUUCGUGAUAUUGUGCGUGAGGUAGCGUUGUUGAGUCUUACGAAGGAAAAGAAGCAGAGGAGAAGGCUUGUCGUGCUCUCGUAAUCUGUUGCUGUGAGACAUGACCUAAGGGAAAAAGGGGAGGAUCGCUUACGUGCAUUGGGUUAGAGCAAGGCAACCGAAGGUUUAUAAGGAAAAUUCAGAGGAGCGUGCGAGUUGGGGGGAGGAACGUGCCAAACAACUUAUAAGGAAGUACUUGAUGUUGAGGAGAUUAUAGUUUUGAAAUUGAAAGGAAGAACGCGAAGACUUCUGCAAGGAACCCAACCA